AAACCGUGUACGUACAAGCAGUGGGAGCCUCUUUAUGGGGUGACUGCGUACCUUUUGUAUAAUGGGUCAGCGACUUAUAUUCUGUAGCAAGGUUAACUGAAUAGGGGAGCCGAAGGGAAACCGAGUCUUAACUGGGCGUUAAGUUGCAGGGUAUAGACCCGAAACCCGGUGAUCUAGCCAUGGGCAGGUUGAAGGUUGGGUAACACUAACUGGAGGACCGAACCGACUAAUGUUGAAAAAUUAGCGGAUGACUUGUGGCUGGGGGUGAAAGGCCAAUCAAACCGGGAGAUAGCUGGUUCUCCCCGAAAGCUAUUUAGGUAGCGCCUCGUGAAUUCAUCUCCGGGGGUAGAGCACUGUUUCGGCAAGGGGGUCAUCCCGACUUACCAACCCGAUGCAAACUGCGAAUACCGGAGAAUGUUAUCACGGGAGACACACGGCGGGUGCUAACGUCCGUCGUGAAGAGGGAAACAACC
rnacentral:rRNA from 1 species